ACAGAGGUUCAUUAUAAGCUUCACUACUCUCUCCUCCAGAAUCUCAAUUUCACCACCAUCUUCUUCAGUGUCGAGAUGAUGACGGCUGAAGUUGAAAUCAUCGCUUCUAAUCUAAUUCCACUUACAUGGAAAAAUGAAAACGUACAUCAAGAUUAACAGAAGCUCUUUUGUGAAAUCUUAGGAGACAUAGCAAAGAUAUUGAGCAUUUUUGUAACCCUAAAAUUCUCCAUGGGUGAAGAAUAACAAGAAGGGAGACCUAUUGCUCUUCCAUCAGCCAUUAGAGGUUGUUGGAGACGGUGUUACUCCUUUGCCACCUGCACCUGCAACAACAUCAACUCCGCUCCAAUUUAAUCCCAACCCAAAGUAACUCUUUCUAUGUUGAACUAGAUUUGAUUUUAUGUUUUUUUAUUAUUCAUAAUUUAACCCAGCAUAAUUUUAUUAUUCAUAAUCGUUUUGACUCUCCCCAAUCCAAAGAAAAGACAAGUAUUCUUCAAUCACAUUCUCAACUCUAUAUAUCCAGGGUGCUAGAGGUGAUUCUCUAUCUCUCUUUAUCUAUAAAUCAAACUGAGAAAAACCCAUCGUUGAUUGUACGAUUAAAUUUCGUUUAUUGAAAGUUUAUGCUUUCUGAUUAAAAGUUUGUUGUUGUUUUUUGUUAUCAAGGUUUUGGCUCUAAUUGUUUCUUUCGUUUCGGUUUGCAUCGAUGGAAGCUUGCGCCAUUUUUUUUAUCUUCUUCUAUAUUCUCUUCAACUAUGUUGGGUUUUAUGAAUAAUUGUUUCCUUAAUUUGUGCAGCAAGAAUUAAUCGGUCUAUUGUUUAACGAAAAGCUAUGAGAAUUACAAAAACAGUUGAUUGAAAUAGUUGUUUUCCUAUUGAAACGUAUGAGAAUUGUUCAAUUUUGAUUUUGUUUCUGACUUAGUUCAACCUAUUCUUUUUGUGAAAUUUCAUAUCCAUUGGCUCAUUUGUGAAUUUUGAAUCUUAAUAUACAUGGUUACUGAAGCAAGAAUCUUUUUAGUAGUGUUAUUGCAGCAGGAGCAAGAAUUUCUCAAUGAGCAACGGAAAACAAUAGCACAACGAAAGAUGGUUCCGCACUAACGGAAGGUUUGGCUAAUAACAUGGGUUGGGGGGAAGCCCUCAAGAGUUGAAUGCUGCAAUUGAAACUUCACUUCAAGUGUUCACAUUCAUUUCGUAAUGUUUGAUUCUCAUAUGAGUAUUGCUGGGCAUUUCAACCCUUUGACUUCGAUUUUGUUGUUCGGGGGUUAAAAGGUCGUUUAUUCCGCAUACCUACAUAAGUAUUCCUUCGGAUUUUUUUUUAAUUAUUAUUAUGUAUUUUUUUGUAUGCUGCUAGAAGGCGUCUUUUGAUCCCCUGUUUGUGACGACGACAUAGGUAAUUGGUGUUGGACCCAUAUAGACUACCACUGGCAAGUAAAGACGUGGUCAAGAAGCUUCUGAUUAAUGACAAGAUGCAGGAGUUAUUCUGCAAACAGUCCCAAUUGAUAUGCAAUUCUCACUUUCUUUCUCAAUAUAUUCAGGCAUCACUGAGGGUGGAGCAUUGGAUCACAUGGUCAGACACAAUGGUAACAUAUGCUUGGUUUGGUCCAUUGAGUCUCACCUGGUGACCUGGCUACUGAGAUUUGUGAGCUCCAAAAUUUUGAUGGCUCAAAGGUGCGUAAGUUUCACAGUAGAUAAUGGCAACAUAUUUUCAUUCAUAUAUUUUGCGAUGAGCGGGCUACUGUAGUUUCCAUCUGCAGCAUAAAUAAUACCCCACUUAGUUACAGUAAGCAACCAAGCGCGAUCUUUCGGAUAUUGGUAAAGGGCAAUUAUGACCAUAUUUUAAAUUUGUUAUGCUAUCAUUUAAUAAUUUUUGCACCAACUUAGUUUAGUGAGUGCAACAAAACUAGUAUAUGAUACAAUGCGUCAAAAAAUAAAAAAAGAAAUUAAUCUAUUGUCUUUACCUGUCACUAGAUAGAUGAUCGAGUAAUAAUUAUUUUAAAUGCAUGUUUCCGCUGAGUCGUUGAGGUUGUUAAGUGUGCAUUAGACUUGAUAGUUUCUGAAGUUCAUUGAGCCUCAUUGUAGCUAUGAAAAAUAAAACCAAUAAAGGGUGAAAUACAGAUGUAUUCCUGUUUUUUUGGGCGAAUACAGAUGUACCUUCGUUUUUCUCACAUUUACAAAUGUACUCCUAUUUUGACCGUUUUUUUGAAAAAAACGGCUAACGGAAAGUUAACCUCCAUGUCAGCAGUUAAAUCAUCUAACUCACUUGUCAAGUCAAGUAAGCUGUGUACACAGUCCAACUCGUCUAUUCUUCCACGUAAGUUGUAUACACGUGGCUGGUCCCACAUUUAAACGGUCAAAAAAAUUUAUCUUCUAUAUAUAUACAUCUUCUCUUACUGGACACUAACCAUCUUUUUCUCCUAUAUAUUUCUACUUUCUCUAUUUUUUGGUGACUGUUUCAGAUCUAAAACGGGUGAAAUCAGCAGCAAAAUCAUGUGUUUCAUGUGUGACAUUGAAGAUGAUCAUGAAACCAAAGGUUGUCCUUGGGUUUAUUCAAGGUGCAAACAUGUACCUUGUAAUGGUGUGAGGGCUCUAUUGAGAUCUAAAACACUGUGAAGCAUUCAGAUGGGCUUCAGAUGCAAUAGUUAUAGAAACAAAGAAACACUCAAGGGAAAAGUACAUGAAAUAUGUAAGGAAUUCAAGAAAAAUCUACAAAUGUAACUGCAAUAGAUUAAUAAAGUCUAAAUUCUCUGCAUUGUCUU